UUACUAGAGUAGCACUCGCAUAUCAAUAAGCGGAGGAAAAGAAACUAACAAGGAUUCCCCUAGUAACGGCGAGUGAAGCGGGAAGAGCUCAAAUUUGAAAUCUUAAAGGGUUUCCCUUACGAAUUGUAGUUUAAAGAAGUGUUUUCUGUUGAGGUUUUGGUAAAAGUUCUUUGGAAUAGGACAUCAUAGAGGGUGAGAAUCCCGUAUUUGACCUUUACUUUCAACUUUGUGAUACACUUUCAAAGAGUCGGAUUGUUUGGGAAUGCAGUCCAAAAUGGGUGGUAAAUUUCAUCUAAAGCUAAAUAUUGGCGAGAGACCGAUAGCGAACAAGUACCGUGAGGGAAAGAUGAAAAGAACUUUGAAAAGAGAGUUAAACAGUACGUGAAAUUGUCAAAAGGGAAGCGUUUGACACCAGUGUUGUUUUUCUGAAAUCAAUUAAAGAACUGUUUAUGCUAAGUUGUUUAGACUUUAUCAGCUAUCUGUUUAGUUUUGAGCUUUUCUUUAAUGCACUUUUCAGUUAACAAGUCAACAUCAAUUUCUUUUGCUGUAAAAAAGCUUGAGGAAGGUGGCUUGAGAUUCGUCUUAAGUGUUUAUAGCCUCUUGCCUAUGCAGUCGGAGAGAUUGAGGUCUGCAGCGUAGAUCCUUCGGGGCUAAAUGCAUUUGUGCUAAGUUAUAGCAUUUUAUAGACAACUUGUUGACUAUGAUUUGUCUUGUAGCUUACUCGCUUAUGUUAUUUUACCUACGCUUAGGAUGUUGAGCGCAUGUCUCUCUCU
rnacentral:rRNA from 1 species